rnacentral:rRNA from 1 species
GCAGUCGAACGAUGAACCGCUUUCGGGCGGGGAUUAGUGGCGAACGGGUGAGUAAACGUGGGCAAUCUGCCCUGCACUCUGGGACAAGCCCUGGAAACGGGGUCUAAUACCGGAUAUGACUGUCCAUCGCAUGGUGGAUGGUGUAAAGCUCCGGCGGUGCAGGAUGAGCCCGCGGCCUAUCAGCUUGUUGGUGAGGUAGUGGCUCACCAAGGCGACGACGGGUAGCCGGCCUGAGAGGGCGACCGGCCACACUGGGACUGAGACACGGCCCAGACUCCUACGGGAGGCAGCAGUGGGGAAUAUUGCACAAUGGGCGAAAGCCUGAUGCAGCGACGCCGCGUGAGGGAUGACGGCCUUCGGGUUGUAAACCUCUUUCAGCAGGGAAGAAGCGAAAGUGACGGUACCUGCAGAAGAAGCGCCGGCUAACUACGUGCCAGCAGCCGCGGUAAUACGUAGGGCGCCCCCCCUUGUCCGGAAUUAUUGGGCGUAAAGAGCUCGUAGGCGGCUUGUCACGUCGGUUGUGAAAGCCCGGGGCUUAACCCCGGGUCUGCAGUCGAUACGGGCAGGCUAGAGUUCGGUAGGGGAGAUCGGAAUUCCUGGUGUAGCGGUGAAAUGCGCAGAUAUCAGGAGGAACACCGGUGGCGAAGGCGGAUCUCUGGGCCGAUACUGA